UGUAUAAGAGAAUGCGGGUCCUUUUAGUAAUCACCUGUGGCCACGCUUCUCCCUCUAUAUACUGUAUAAGGCAGAAUGUCUAAUUUCUUAUUUGUGUUAUUUGCAUUGUGGAUGCUAUCCAUAAAUACUGACAAAAUGUUAGAAAGUUUACCUCAUGUAGAUGUUCCAGGACUACACAUCCCAAAGUCUAAUGUCCUAUUGCCGACCUGCUACCAUAAGUUGUAGCAACUACUUACACCCCCCUCAUUUAUUUAGAAGCAUAAUAUGUUUCAUGUUCAUGUUUAUAGGUUGUUUUUUGUAUGUUGUUAUGUUAAUACCUGCUUUCUACCAUUCCAGAUAUACUGCUUUCAAACUGCCUCCAUCGAAACUCAUCCUCCCCCUUUCCCAUCCCUGGUCUGGUCGGAUCUGCAUGAGCCACAUAAUGACCCACCCUCAGAUGCCUAGUUGUUUUAUUAAAGGUGGUACAACAAAACAGACUACCAGAAAAAAAAACGAAAAUGUUGGAAUGCAUCUUUUUCCUAGGAGUCCGCAGAAAAUUAAUGUUUGGUUAAAAAUAAUGGUAAAAAUAUUCCAGAUGUGGGUAGUUUUGUGCAGAAAAUUCAAGUCGCUAAAAAAAAAUUCUCAUAUAAGAGUAUGUUCACUACAUUUUACACCCGAAUCUUAUCAACAGGUUGGAACACAAAUUUU